rnacentral:lncRNA from 1 species
GAGCAUAUCAAAUGGAUUUACCCUGUCAUAUGAAGAUGAUGAGAUAUUGAGAUAAUUAUGUGCAUGGCUGUGUGGGUUUCACAGCAGUAGUAUGACAGGUGCAGGUCUCUGGAUGCUAAUUUCAAUACACGAGUCUUCCGGAAGUAGAGUCAAGUGUCUAUGUGUUGUGAGUCAGUAAAAGUCUGACAUAUGAAAAAUGAAUUUUAUGAAUGUAAUAGACACUUGAUGGUUUGAGAAAUCAUAUGAGAAUUGAUGAAUUAUGCUUAUUAAUUUGAAAUUUAAAUUAUAUCAAAACAUUUUAUAUAGAUAGCUUACCCUGUUAUUUGUUUGUGUUUGUUUCUCUAACUGUGAUGAUCGUGUAUUUACACGGAGCAGAUGAGAUUGCAGGUAAUAGAGCUCCUCAAUGAGCAGCAGAAGG